UCUGCAGAGAGAAUCACAAACGCAGGAGUCCCCAGUCACUAGCGGUGAGUCGAUGUCCGGCAAAUAAUCACAGAAACAGAGCACUGCACGUGACCACUGCCGCAUGGCAAGGCACAAACGAGCAGGUGUGUCCAAGAGCUCCCGGCACCGUCCCCCCCGCCCCGCCCUGCACAGGUACAUACAUAAAACACAGGCUAGUCAGGCACAGCGGGUGCCUUCCUCCCCCCAGGCUGUGGCUUAGCAACCUCCCACCUGCCUCCAGCCUCUCCUGUCUCCAAUCCACUCUUGUUGGCCAGAUCUGUCUAACUAGCAUGUAAAGUUUGAUCAUGUUCCUUUCCUACUUAAAUUUAUUUCAUGGUUCUCAACAACCUGUUUACCAAAAAUCCAAGUCUUUCCCACAGGAUUCGAGGCCGUGUGGAAUUUGGACCCAGUUUACCUUUCCCAGUUCACUUUUACGAGUAGUCUCCUUCUAUUCUCCUACCACAGGUCCCAGACAAGCCAAACUGAACACACUCCUAGAACACGGCAAGCCGUUCCCCACUCGCAAGCCUGUGUUCCCACUUUCCUGCCUGCCCGAAAUGCCUGUUUCCCGCCACAGUGCCUAGGGAGUAACCUCACCCCUCACAGCUCCGCUGAAGUUCCACACCUUUCUAGCAAGCAUCUCUGAUGAGAAGGGAAGUCAGUCAUCCCUUCUCUAGAAAAAGUCCAGAGCAAAGGCUCUGGAACCAGAAUGCCUGGGAUAAAGCCCCAGCCUCGCCAUAUUCCACAUGUCUGACAAUGGGCAAGUUAACUGACGUCUUUAUAUAUCCAAUUCCUAAUCUGUGAAAUGGGAGUAAAAUAUCUUGAGUACAGAGCUAUUGUGAGUAUUUAAUGAAAUCACACAUGUAAAGCGCUAAGCCUUGUGCCUGAGACACAGCAAUACUCAGUAAGAUUCAGCUACUAUUGUUCCUAUUCCUUAUUUUUUCAUCUGUCUCUACAUCUCUAGUUCUCCAACUUAUUUGAUUAUGAAGGACAGUGAGAAGUAACUUUUACACACACAGGUAUCUAAACAACAGUUUCAUAAAACAGUGAAACAGACUCCAUCCUAUCUUUUAAAUUUUUUUUUACAUUGUAUUUCUUUAGUAGCAUUGGUUCUAUAUAAUCUUGAUUAUCCAUAUUAAUUACAAUUGUAAUUGGAGUAAUUUUAUUUCCUACAGAGAGAGAGAAAACUGGGAAAAGGGUAAUAUUACGUUAUACAUAAGAUAAACACGGCUCACAAGUACAAGCUGUAUCUUUCUUGCCUUAAGAAAUGUAAAUAGGUAUGUGUGACUAUUAGGAGACAUCCAGAUUUUUUAAAUGCUGACUUUCCGACCCUCCUAACCGAUGUGUCACAACCCCCAAUGUGAAAAGCACUGCUUCAUUCAUGAACCCAUUACAGCAGCCCUCAUACCAUAUCCUAGCUAUGUAAGAGCCUGGAUUUCUGGCCAGCAAAGAGAGGACCAGGACGGCUCUGAGGUUAACGCCGAGAAGAGAAAUUCCCAAGGGUGCAUCAUGUUCUAACUGUAGUUUCUCACUACAACCGUUUCUUUAAAACAUCAAUCGCUGUUUCCUCUACCUCAGUAAAUGACACAUCAAGUCUACUGGGCUCUGAACGAGACUUCACAGCUACGAGGCCGUGGACUCCAUGGUCAAAUAUUUCCGGGAAAGGGUUUUUUUUCUUUUUUUUUACAGUAAGAACUUCUCAAGAUUUCUCCAUCUCUGUGAAUGUGAACUGUAAGUCUCCCAACAGUUCCCAAGUUCUCUUGACCACAAAGUAUUUGUUUUGAAAAUCGUCACAAAGACCCGGUAAGCGUGGGAACUAGUGAUUAUGUGAGAGCCAGUGGAGACACCCUCUUGCCUGUCUCCCAGGCUCAAGCCUGUGGAUCUCCUGCUCCAAACCCUCCAAACGCACCGCACCUGCCCCAGGCCUGGCAAAGACUGCAUCAGGGUCAUUUCCUUGUUUUAAAAUCCCACCUUAGCCUGAUGUGUGACCAUCUCCCCAUUUCCUCCCCACUCCAGGCCAGCAGCUCGCUCCACGCCGGUGUCUUCCUCACUCCUCCUUCCCCCUCGCCAAACACACCAGCAGCUCAGGAGGCUGCAAGGGCUGCCCGCCGUCCCUGGGUAAGGCCUUCAUCCGUCAUUGAAGACCGGCCAUGGUCUGACUUCCCCCAACACCUUCAAGAUCAUUUCCAUUUCCAGCUACACUGCCCCAUACAGCUGCUAUAUUCUUUAGACACUGGGCCUCCAGAUGUGUUUUUUAUUCUGUACUUUGCCCCCUGGCUUUAUGCAAACCUGUUUUUUCUUUAAAAGCCAGCUCAAGCCUCACUCCUCCAUGAAUCCCCCCCGCCCCCGGCCCCAACUAUUCUCGGUUUUGGUGGGCAACAUACUUCCACGGGGCACUGAGAGGUAAGAGUACUGGACUCGAAGACAGCACUGUACGCACAGUGGUCCUAGCUCUGUCAGUUAUCACGUUCACCAAACUAUCUGGCUUCUCAGAAACUUUAUCGCUUAGCGUAAGGUAGGAACAGUUACUCAUUUCACAAAUAUUAAUUAUAUUCCUGUCACCUACAAAGAAUUAUGCCAAGGGCCCACUCAAGGUGACACAUAGAAUUAACCAUCACAUGUAUGCUUAAAGAAUACAAAGAUGCAUACAACACGUUCCGGAUCCAAAGGAGCUUAUAAUUUAUUAGAAGAAAUAGGAAAUGUAUACAAACAUGCUACACACAAGACAGUGAUGCCACAGGUCUAAAAGAAAUCACUAAAUAUUAAUGUAGAAGGUCUAGUAAUUCAAAAGCUAACGCAUGUUUUAGCUGAGACUACUCACUCGAUGCUUAAAUGUUUUAAGUUCAACAUUCUCUCUCUUACCCUUAGUCUGGCUGAUAAGUGUCCGAAGUUCCCAACUUCUUCGAGCUGACCCACUUGAAUCACCUUUUGGAUAUGCUGGUUCUGCAGGAAGUAUGUUUUUCACACAAGUUAAGAUUUACGACACAGACGCAGCUGAUGUAAUUGAGAGCAAGACUGAAGUGGCACCAACAGUGGAAGCCGGUGAAGUGAGGCGGAGGAUUCAGCCGGUCAGGGUCACAGCCAAGGCCUCACACUCACCAUCGCGCUCCUCGGUGGGGCUUGAGUGGCGGCUCAAGGACCGAAACUGUAACUCCGCAGCUAUGGAAGCCAGCCGGUCGUUCUCAGGGACGCUGGAACCCCUGUUUCGGUAUUUUUAAAAAUUCAGCUGUCAAUUCAAUGGAACUGCAAGUGAAAGCUCCGUGAGAUUCUUCUAGAGCGGUGAUUCUCAACUAGGGGUAAUUUCUCCCGCUGGGGACACUGGCAUCUAGCGAGUAGAGGAUAAUGCAAAGGACGGCCCCAGAUAACGAAUUAUGCACCCGGAACAACAGUGCUGCUACUGAGAAACCCUUCCUGGAGCUGGGAAGUCAGGCGGAUUUUUAUCCUCCACUGCUGACACAUGAGAACCUGACUGCGUUACACUGUUUUAAGUUAAAAACAGCAAAAAUAAAACAGUAUUUAUUGAAGUGCUAUUGACUUGUGUAGAAAGCUCCAUCAUUUCAGCCCAGGAUGGAUAAAAAUUAUUAGUCAAACUGGCUAAUAUUUAAAAUUAUGAUCAUACUAUAUAUUUAUGGGCUUAAUUCCAUUUAAAAUGUAAAAUUAUUACAUGAUUCAAAGAUUUCAAACCUCCUAAUAAGAAAAUGGAAGGAAACACCUAGUGACUUUUUAAGCAGUAGCCAAGCAAAGGUGCAGGACAGCAGGAAGCUUAGCAUGAAAAGAACAAGGUUAAUUUGCUGCUUUUCCAGAAUAAAGUGAAGUGUGUUUAGAAAUCCAGAAUGAAUCCAAAAAGAGUAAAGCCCAGAAUUAAAUAAGGGCAGUGUUAAAACUGUAAUUCAAAUAAUCCACACUAAAUAUGGCAUUAGUUUAUUAACAAGUUUAGUAUUUUGUACACGAAUGAUAUUAUGAAGUAUGGUAGCAUUUAUGCUCUUUUUCAUGAUAUGCUGAAUGGAUUUAAGGCGACGUGGUCUACUGAACACGUGUUCACAAAUGACGCUGUAGGCAAUGCUUUUUUAUUUCCCUAAACUCUCAAAUCCAGUGUAACACUUGUAAGUCUGAAGAGUGGGGGGCAUCCUCUGUGCCAUGUAGCUCAUCAGAGAGUCCUGACACCAUCUCCUGGGAAGAGCACUGAUGCUGAAGCAAAGAAACACACGACUCCUAAACCAAGGACACGUCACUCAACACCCCUCUGUUCCUGACUUCCCAGACAUGAAAUCAGCCGAUUCCACACCCUCAGAGAUCUUUGCUAGGGCAAAAGGCAAAAAAAUAUCCUUAAAUGAGGUAGCGUGCCGGUGAACGUCUCACUACCCGCUGUGGACUCCCAGUUUCAGCGGCGGGACGGCCGGCUUGCCAAAGCCGUAAAAAAUUAACCAUCGGUCUCGCAGACCGCUAGGAGCCAGUUCCAACGAGAACAGCGCAGGAAAGUUUUAUCAACACGUCAGGUAACUGAAGCCCAGCCUGUUCCCUAAGUCAAACCCAGCCAAAUCAAAACAUUUCCGGGAUGCCCUGGGGCACAGCGACAACUCCCGGGGCAGGAACCCAGAACGUCUCUGAGACAGGGGGUGGUGGCUGCACGCGGUGAGGCUGGGGCGGUCCUGCGGCCCCGGAAGUUCCAGCCUCGCGAGACUUCCCCACAGCGCACUCGCCAACCAAGGGCUGUACACACCGCGGCUGCGCAGCAGCCGGCCACCCCGGGGUCCGCCCCACAAGCUCCCGUCAGCCGAACUGGGCAGGCGCAGGUCCGGGACGCUGGAGGGCCUCGCUGCCCUCUGCCCACGGUCACACGUACGCCGCCAGAGAGUCGCGACAGCCUCAUCCUCUGGAAACAGUGGCCUCGAGACGGCACACUGUGACGGCAGGGAAAUCCCUGCGUGUCCAGAAUCAUCGGGAAGAUGAAGAACACUUACGAGACGCUGCUCGUAACAUGCUGAAAAAGCCUAAGACAACGCACAGGAAGGCCAACCACACGUACUUGGCCUUCAGACUAGUAACAUCCGCUCAGCGUACCACUGGCACUCACAGAUGCCUUCGGCCAGACUUCAUGACCCUCGAGAACUGGGGCGCUCCUCCCCCCUCCCCUCUGUAGUUCUGCAGGAAUGUUGUGAGGACGCGGACGCAGCAGGCGUGGGAGCCAGCACCGCCGCCCUGGUGGAGUGUUCUGGAGUCUGCACUGGGGGGCAAGUCGCUUCCAUUAACCCCGUGUGACACUUGUAUAAGAAACAUUGCUUCAAGAACAGUAUCUGUAAAGGUCUGCCCUGCAACGCUCUAAACAUAAAUGAAGAAGGUGAAGGGGAGUCCGCUUAUGGUUAACUGUUAAUUGUUUUAGUUGACAGCUUAAGCUGUAAAGUAUGUGGAAUUUUUUAGGUGAUAGAUGUUUAUCACUACAAAUUAGGGGCAUCUGUUAUUUUAAUGAAGGAGAACAACGGAACUGCAGAAACUUUAGACUUCUAUAAAGUACAUCUAAAAACAAGUUGGUGUGUCUUAGAUUCUAGAACUGUACGUCACCUUUCUGCCAAUGACCUACUCGUAUCUCUUACGAGCACCGAGUUUCUUUCCAGUUUUGUCUGUUUUGAUUGGAUUACCCUCAACCCCUGGAGUUCGACUCUAUCGCCAUGUGUGUCCGAAGACGAGCACAGAGACGGUGUGUCCCCUCUGCCAGACAGAGGGGUGUAAUGAAGAGUGACUGAAUGGCUUUUCUCCACUAAGUGUAGGAGACCUGGCUGAAAUCCUGUGUCAGAACGACUAGAACGGGUGCAGAGACUUCAUGCAGGAGACCUCCGUUUUCCAGAGCUCGCCAGCUGUCUGACAGCUCUCUCCAGAAAGGACACUUUUCUCCGUAGAAGAUACCAACCUCACCAACUCACUUUUCCACUCUUACACACUACUUCUAGUCAAUGAUUACAUAAAUGAGGAAAGCGGGUUAGGAAAGUGACCCUCCUCAAAAACAAAUCCCCACCUGAGGGUAUUAACUAGAUGCCAUCUCUGAACCACUAUGGGGCGGGACCCCUCAGGAAAGGCGCUACUUGCCCAGAUUCUCCUGUCCCCUUCGGUGGGAACUAGGUUCUCUUGUCCGAUACUCUCUCAGAGGACUUGUUACUGGUCAUUUUGGUUAAUGUGUAGCUCCAAAGAAAUACGGAUCGGGCACACUGUCUCCUCGUGCUGCUGGGUGUGAGAGCCUUUGAGUCGGGACACCCCACGGGCGAAUCCCAAAGCCGAGGCCACUGCGGACGUGCACACGAGGGGGACCCAGGGGACGUGGAGCCGGUGCAGGGUGACUACCUGGUGUCAUGGGCACCGCUGAUGGGUUUGGGCGGCACAGCGUCGCUGCCGGAGGGACCGGGCCGGCCGGCGGCGGCCACAGUGACAGCAGCAGCAGGGCCGCCGUGGCUCCGCGCGUCUGAAGGCACGCUCCGAGUGCUGGCACGAGAAGAGAAGCUUCAGGAACACAGCUAAGGCGCUGUGGUGUAUUUCAAGAUAAGGCAACAAAGAGCUUUUAAAAAAGGCUGAAGGAGGACACGGAAAGGAUACUUAGUUACAGAGCAAGCACCCAGGAGCCCAGAGAGUGAGCAUGCACGUCAGAGGAGGAGUCAUAAAGCAAAUGACUAGCUGAGCACCAAAUACCUGAAUCCCUCUGGAGUCGGGAUAAUCAGAUGUGGGUUAGGAGGGUCACUGUGGCAUCGCGGCACCUUCACGGGACGGGGACUGUUCCGAUGGAUGGCUGCCAGUGACAACGGAGACAAACGCAAAGUGUUAAAGGGGUGGACAGAAGAUGCCGAACCAGACAACUUAGCAGAAACGGGAUGGGCCUUAAUUUUGCUGGUGACCAAAAUAAAUCCAUUACAUGAGUAAGAAAAUCGUACUAUACCUAUACUCAUAUUGGGGAAAACAUCGCUUUUUAAAAGUUAGUAAAAGUUACAUCACACAAACUUUUAGCCGUUGAAAACAUUUCUUAACAUCCCGGAGAAAAAGUACACAACGGAUGCAGAACAGACAACGUGGCCCAUGUUAGAGACCGCGCCGUGGCAGCUCCAGUGAGAAAGGGCUCUUUCUGCUGACUACACUUUUUGAAAGAUUCUGGUCCAUGCUGACGCCUCAACAGGCUCUGAGUCAGGGAGGGUCGCUGUCAUUUUCCUGAGUACGUGGAGUUUUAUUUAAUUCUUUUAAAUCUAGAAUGAGGGGGGCCAGGCACAGUUUAAACAGGUUAUUCUUUUGUUCAGAACACAUUUUCUUCUCUUCUUUGUUUAAAUAGUCUGGCAAAAACUGGAUAAAAUUUACAAUAAAAAUUUAAAGGGAUAACCUUACCUCAUGAUUACAAAAACGCUGAUAAUUGUCCUUUCCCCGUAACUAGACAGAGCUAGUGUUGCACAUGUAUUAAAUUGUCUAUUUCACCCUGACAUGUUGUCCCCUUACUUCUGACUCCUUUUUAACUCUCCUUAAUUUUGUAAAUGUCCUAUUUUCUUUUUAUGUGAAUAAUUUUACUCCACGUGUUUUAUUCACUCCGUAUAUGCUUUGUCCUAAGUGGAAACACUUCCUUCUUCAUGGUUUUGGUUUCUUUUUAACAUUACACAGGAAAGACAGCAGAAGUCCCCCAAACGGAGAGAUCUGAAGGGAAAACUUGCAAAAUAAAAAUCAAGCAAUUGUUAAGAAAAAAGUCAAGCAAUUUGUGUCUCUGGCUCGUUAUCUCAACAAUUACAGUAGUAAAUAAAGAUAAAAAGAAACAAAACAAUAAAAAUGCCUUGGAGAAGAUGGUGAUGUCUUUAAUUGGUGGUAUCUUUAAUUCGGCAAACGUACUGGGAACUUCUGAGUCAGAAACUGCUACACACUUUCCUCAUAAAGGUAUAAAAGAAAUACCUGCUGCUAAAACACAUGUCCCCAAGUUUUACGUUCCUCAUCACAAAACAGAACAUUUAAGAGUAUAUACGACCAACUGCUGAGAAACUGUGGUAUUUUAUUGAAAAGAAAAUCCGAACAGCCAAUAAAAGGAAAAUAGAUGCUCUAAUUUCACUGGCAAUGUUACUAGAGAGAUGUUUUUCAGGGCAAAAACGAACAAAACAAAUGUCCCCAAGGAAAUGGUGCAAAAAAUCGCAAUACCCGCAUCAUGGACAAAACGAAGCCACUAAAGAGAAUGAACCGGAUCCAUUCCUAUUGACAGGAAGGAAUUUCUACGAUUGUCAGAUAAGAAAACCAAGCGAUUACUAUCCAAUGUGAUCCAGCUUUCAUACAGUGAAGCGAACGACCUGAUCCACGCUUGUGUGAUUACAGGAGCAGAGCCACACACAGCAGAACGCGCCCGUGCAGCUCCCUGAGCACAUGGAACCGAGGGGAGGCCACACACCAGGCCGUGCUCAGUGGCUACGAGCGCAGAACACAGGGAGAGAAGACGGUACACAACGGAACGACAGCUGGUGUGCUCUCCAUUCAUUAACUGCCCUCGUAAGGGAAGGGCACAAAACGAGAUGUGGACGGCUGCCGCGCACAGGACACUACAGUUUACAGCUCUCAUGACCUUACUGAAGCUUCAUUAGCAUCCAGUUGUAAGCAUUUGCAGAGGAGCCUCUGUGAUGUUGGAUGAGCGGCCCCGGGUCAGCAGGAUGUCAGGCGAUCUGACUCGGCCAGUGCUGUUCCCAGCAAGCCACAUGGCCGAGGGGACAAAGGGCACCUCCAGCCCACAGAUGGCACUGCUGACCCACUGUCCCACCAGCAGUUUGCAGAGAGGCAUGUGAGUACUUAGUGAUGGAUCGCACGUUAGCCGUGAUUACCUAGCAACCGUAGGAGGAUUGCUUUUUUUUCUUUUGUAAUAUUCUUCUACCUUGACAUUUUUUCUGCGUAUACAUUUUCUACAUUUCUCUAUAUACUCUUCCUACACUGUAACUUUGCCACCAUGGAAAUGAUUCCUCACGUAGGAAAAACUUUAAAGAAGUGAUUUUUACUGAAUUAUUAAUGAUGUAUUCUUAGUGAAAUAUUUUAGGAGAUCAGAAAAUCAAAGCUUUUAGGAUAAUAUGAUUAAUCAAAAAUUUGAUAAGAAUACAGAACACUAUAAAAUUGUAACAUUAUAUAAAAUGUUCAAAGAGUUUUGUAAAUGGUGACUUUCAUAACAGCCUCGGGAGAAAAGCAGGUAUAAACUGAGUGAACUGUUUUUAAGUAUUUAUUUAUUUUUGAGAGACAGAGAGUGCGUAAACAGGGGAGGAGCCGACCGGGAGGGAGAGAGAAUCCCAAGCAGGCUCCGUGCUGUCAGAGCAGAGCCCAGUGCAGGGCUUGGACUCACAAACUGUGAGAUCAUGACUUGUACCAAAAUCAAGAGUCGAUGUUUAACUGACUGAGACACCCAGGUGCCCCCUGAGAGAAUUUUAAAGAUCAAGGAACCAAGCAUUAAAACCCAGUGUACUAACUUUUCUAUAGCUAGCAAAUACCAUUUAAGACAUAGUUCCUCCCGCUCGAGAAAUUUACCAUUUAUGAAUUAUUUUAUUUUGUGUAAUUUAAACUGUUUUAAAAUUACUAAAUUUUCAUUUUUGGAUGUUUAUUGCAUAUAAAUAGAGUUUUGCUUUUAGUUACUAUCUCAAGAAUGGGGUAAGGCACGGCCUUUUUCUGAUACAUACUUUGUUGUAAAGUUUCAACAUACUCCAUAAAACUGUAAUAUUAACUAUAAUUGAAAACUCUAAUUGAAGUACAUCAUAGCAUAACUUGUGUUUUUGUCUUUUUAAGUAAAAUCAAAUAAGAAUUUACUAUGUUAGUGGGGACACAGGUACCGUCUCAGCUGUGAAAAGGGGAACAAUUACACUUGCCCCCCUCCAGCAGGAAAGGCCCUUCCUUGCUCCUUAACGGACAACUGUCUCCAAGUCUUUCCUUCCCAGAAGAAGAGAUUUUAAGGGGGAGAAUAAAGUGUUGGUGUGCAAAGAAUAAUGAACUAAAAUGUGUAGUUAAGACUGCUGGCAGGCAGUGAAUGCCGUGUGCUGGCAUUUUAAUCUUCCUGCUGGAUUUGGAAGGACUAUGGUCUUCUCCACAGACACACCUCAUUCCUGUAACUUUCGCUGUCUUUUUCCGGAAUACCAUUAAAGAACUUCUCUACACCGGGUAAACGGCCACAAUUACAAGAUGAUGCGCUUGCCCAGACCAGGAGGUUCUAGGGGAAAUGUUCUAACUGCCAUCUUACCAAGGUACAAACCUGUAACAGGACUGUGCGGCUUUCCUAUCACGUGGCCAAUGCACUCAUUCAUCAAGGCUUGAAGACUCUGGAAACCCGAGGAAAAUAGCAAAGAAGAAGGGCAAUGUACAUUCUCUCAAUUAGUAAGUAACACAAAUUAACCUUUCAGUAUAUUUAAAAGAAACACGCUACCCUUAGUCAAGAUUUUCAAAGUUUGUUUAAAAGAAAAUAGCUAUAAACAUAAACACAAAUUGCACAUAACUUAUAAUGAUAAUACAUACAAUUCUAUUUUUAGGAACAAAAACAAAUUCACAUUCAACUCCGCAUAGUGCAAUGAUGUGCACAAGCACAUCUCUACUACUUGAGGCUAAAAUGAAUGAAUUCACAUGCUGAACACCAUCUUUUGGAACUGAAGGAAUGUACUGGAAUAAAAGUGAUAAUAUUCAGCAUUUGGCACUACCCCCUCAAAUGGCACAUGCUGGGGUGAACCAGCUAGUCCCUCGUUAAACUGCCAAAAAGCAGCAACUAGUAAGUCAGCAAUUCAUAAAAUCUGAAACUGACAAAUAUUUUAGAAGUGCUAGGCUUCCCAGCUAUCCAUGGACUUAGCCAGUUGGACACUAUUGUUAUGAAAAGAAAAGAACACGGAAUUUCUUCCUAUGCUAUUAAAAGUGCUUUUACUUUAGCAUUAUCGUUACAAUUAUGAAAAUAAUAUUUAAGAACAGCUAUAAAAAAUACACAGAAAUAGUAAUCAAUUCAUUUCUUUAAUGAAAACAAAACAAAACAAAACUCUAGAACAUUCCAUACCAAGAAGUCAUCUUCUGGCAAAGCUGAAAUAAAGGCAGGUUCAAUGGCUUGUAGAAAAUCAAAACCUUGGGUUGCCCACCUGUUACAUGAAAAAGUUCAAUAAUCACAAAACCCAGAAAAUACUGUAGCAGUUUUACCCUAUACAGUACUGAAAUGUAAUCUGACUGGAAAAUUAUGGUCUAAGAAAAAACAUACCUUUUGGGGAUGAGUAAAUUUAUAGCAUGUUUUGUGAGAAAAGGACAAACAACUUCUUCAUAAAGGAACUGGUUACCAAUUUGUUUCCACUUACGUUAAUAACAGGCUUAAAUUUCAUGAGGGAGGGAAAAAAAUUAGCAAUCAGGAAGACCUGUCCAGGGAGAAAGUGAACUCCCCUGAAGUUAACUCAUUAUGGAACAAAUUUUGCUUUUAAGCUUUCCAAGCACUAUGGAGUCUGCUGUGUUAAUAGUCUCAUUUAAAAACAAAACAAAGCAAAAUCCUGAUGGCCAAAGAGUUCAAAAUGCUCCUUUUUGUGUCAGCUGCUCAGAAAUCUCACAUACAAUAUGCAAACGAAAUAUUACCAAUCCCAUAUCCCUUGUAUUCCUGCAUCUUCCAGCUUCACAGGCUGCUCCAACACUCACACUCACACAUGCUCACGCACUCACAAACACAUACACACAUGCUGGCUCGCGCUCUCUCUCUCUCGCUCUCUCUCUCUCUCUCUCUCUCUCUCUCUCUCGUCUCUGCUGGAGAGACUGGAGUACUGAGUUACUUGCAGUUCCAGGAAACAUGUCCUUGGUCAUUACCUGGGUCUUGUACCUCGACCGCUCUCACAUUUAGUUAGGACAUAGUUCAUCCACUUCCGGGCAAAGCUUAUAUAUUUGUCUCCUAUCUUCUGUCUAAACUCUCCAGACAUCAAACGAACAACUUCUUUAUGAUACUGUAAGAAGAUUUUGUGCAUAUCAAAAUGAAGAAGAAAGUAACGAUUAUACAACUAUCUCAACGCUACAAAUGCCAUGUCUGUUUAAAAUGUCAUUUUUCUAAAAACAAAAAGCAAAGUCUAAUUAAAAUUUACACAUUUUCAAGAGCAUAAAAAGUUACAGAUAAUAUAAUAAAGUGCGGCUUCACGAUGUUUUAUUCGUAAGCUGAAAUUACAGACGUACUUUCAUGAUAGUAACCAUCUCAUAGAAGGUUUUGAACGCAGAAAGCUGUUAGCACAAAAUAAGAACUGGGCAACGACUGGCCAGUCUAAAAGGAAACCAGCAUUUCUGAUACUCAGCAGCGUACGAUGAGUCGUGCCUGACGAAGCCGUGAUUACCAUCAAUAGUCUGACGUGAGUGCGUUACGGAGCAACUGCAAAGCUACACUGUGCUUCUCCUCUUACUCUGUACCUACCUCGAAACCAAAGUUGUACCCCUGAAUCAUCGCCUCGCGGUAGUACUGCUGCAGCGUAACAGACUCAGAUUCGUCAACCUCCGCAUCAAAUUCGGAAGUGAACAUGUGGUCCACUCGGUCGAUGGCAUCGCUUAUUCUGUUGCAAAGCUCUAGCGCGUCAUUCUAAAGAGGCCCAAAGCAUAAUGAAUACAAACCAAGCAAUCACCUAAUACCUACUGCAUUUUAGAGGAAGACUCCUUUCGUCAUCACAGACGUUAACCACUGCAAUAUAUUUUAGCCGUAUUUAUUCUAGUUAUUCAAAAAUAAAGGAUAUUUAUUUACUUAU